rnacentral:lncRNA from 1 species
AUCCUUGCAACCCAAAGUGACUCUUGGACUGGCGAAAGAGAGAAGGCAGAGAGCACACUGCCUCAUCGCUCUGGAUUUGUGCGUGUGGGUGAAACUGAUGGACAGCUUCAACACAUUUCUCUAUCAGAAGGUUAGAGUUGUUGCUUUUCUUUAAAAGUAUCUAGUUUAUCUCCGAUUGUUGCUGGUAUUAUUAUUACUAGUACUAAUACUUGUAGCAGUUACAGAAG